GGACAACUUUUGUAUGCAUCUUCCAGCAUAAAACACCCUUGAGAAAAAAUAGAAGGCAAGCUAAAAGACAAAGGACCACUAAAGAUUUUAUUAUGCUAUGGGUGUGGUGCCAUAAAUUUUAGGAGAUUCAGGCAAGAGUUGCCAAGCCUGAAUUUAAACAGCAUGUUGUUUUUAAAAGUUGUAACAUUAGUGACGAACAAGUCCGUAUUCUUACAUAAUUAAUCCAGUGUGAAAUAGAGUGACUGGAAGACAUCCAGUGGUUUAAAAAUAACUCAAUCAUUUAUAAGAUCCACAGCGCUAUAGGAUUUAACAUUAAGGCACAGGAAGUGAAGGCAUCUUGGUACGGAGCAUGCUGUUUUAAUUCCACAAAAGCUUUGUGAAUUCGGCUUAACGGAGCUCCCUGCACAACAGCCCUGUGCCACGCAGAAGCAAGGGAGGUUCCUCUCAAGUGGUCACAGGUUUAACGUCUGGGUUUUUGUCAGCGGGAUUUGAUUUCAUUUUUCCUCUCUCCACCAUUUGGAGAAGCCUUUGGCUGGAGAUAUUAUAAAAGAGAUGUUUUUUUUUUUUUUUUUUUUUUUUUUUUUUAAUGGUAACGCUUAACUGGAAAGACUGGGAGGAAGACAAAGCUACACAGGGACCAAAGGAGUGUCUUCAGAUGAAAUGUAAUCAUGUGACUCAAGGCAGAAGCAGGCAAGACGUCUGGAAGGGACUUGAACAUUUAUGCCUCAGUGCUGCUGCUUGACUUCCUCCAGAGAAGGGAGAGCAUGCUUGGAUGUUUGCCAAAAGGGAGAUCACAGUUCUUUCUAAUGCAGACCUUGCAAGGCCUAGCACAAGGCAAAGACACUUGAGCACUGGAAUAGUUUCUUGGAGACUCUGAUGGCUCUUCUGCAUAUGAAAAGUUUAGGAAACUGCAAGUUUUGAAGAAAUGCAUGUGCAUAUCUGCACUGGCAGCAAGAUCUGCUUUGCAAAUAAUUACCGUGUAUCCAGGGAAAGGGAAAAAACUUCUUUUGAAACUUUCAAUGUGGAGAAAAUUCUGUAGAUAGAAAAACUGCUAGAAAGAAAUAAAACUGCAGUUGGGGGAACAGACAAUAAACAUUUCAGAUUGCUUUAUGGCUCACUAUUACAGGCAACUAUCUUGCUUAAGUAGGCAUAACAUUUUUCACAGUAUAUAUUUAAGGUUUUAUUAUGGUUUGUAUGAACAGCAGGAAACCAUCGCUCUUGAAGGGAGGGGAGAAAUAAUUUUUGCCAGCCCAGAGGCCUGGCAGGUAGCAAAAGGCACUUUGUAAGCAGGACAUGGGUGCGUGAUUCAGUGUGGUCUGAGCAAUGCCCUGCGUGGUGUCCAGCUGCGUGGGCUGCCUGCAAUGCAGGAUGCAUGCAUGAGAGUGAUGAGGUAGAAUGGACCCUGGGGACCAGCAUCACUCCUGCUGGGUUAGCUGCAUUGGGGCUUUUACUGGGGCACCAAUGGAGAACACAGCCCUACAAGCAGCCUAAUGUUAGGGGCAAGCAUCAGAGCAUUUGGGGCCAUUGCAGGCUCCUCUGGAGAGGCUCUCCAGGACAGUAAGUUACACAGCGACAUCCACCUCCGGGCUGCCAAAUCCUGACAGCUCAAAACAAUGGAACAAAGAGUAACGGGAAAAGAACAGUCCACACCACCGCAUCCAGCAUUGUCCUGGAUUCCCUUCGGCUUGCUUACAAUGAGUGACGUCCUUCGGUCUGGGGCGCACCACUUCUGCCAGGAUCGACCCCAGCCCAUGCCCCAAACUUGGGAACCAUGCCACAGCCAACAGCGACGCAAUGUAUAAGUCAUUAGGCAAGAGAAACUGAAGUCACUUGAUUUUUAUCAUUAUUAUUCCCCACACAACAACAGCUUGUCCCUCUCCCCAGUUUACUUCUGCCUCCAUUUAUCCCACCAUGCCCACCAGUAAUCCAGACCCUCCAGAGCACAGAACGGGGACAAAACCUUCCAAUAUGCAGUUUCCCAGGCAGAGCCAUGAGGAGCUAAUCUCUGUGUACAUUAUGUGAACUGAAGUAACUAAUUUAGCAGCUUAUUCCCCCAGGUAGCCAGUGACCACUGUAUGUCCCUGCUAUUUAAUUUGACAGUUAACCUUCUGAGGGCUGGUAGUCAUUUUAGAUUAACCUCUGUAUCUUAAAAAUUAGUAAGCAAUUUCCUUCAGGUUAAUUUUUUUUUUAAUUGUUAAUUUUUCCACCUAUUUCCAGUGGUCAUCUCAUCUCCCACAUUUGUUUGCCCUUUUUAAUGUAUCACUUUGUGAAUCAGAACUGGUGGAGGGUAGGGGGACGCACUACUAAGAAGCUGGAAAACAUUUUUAAAGAAGUAAGACGAAGCAUUUGUGCCAUAGUUUACAAUUAUAAUAAAAUAAAUCUAGAAACCAUUUCAUGUAUGAGAGCGUGUAUAUUAGAAAAAAAUAUUCCUCUCUAUAAUGGAUAACCAUCUUAGGAACAGUAGAAUGUGAGUAAUUUGUCAGUUUUUCUUUUAAUUAAAACUGUGAAUAUAGUUCAUGCACUGUUUGAUUCAGCAUCAGCAUUUUGGAUGGGGGCUAAAACCGAUUUCCUCUUAAAUCUGUGGGUUUCUCAGGACAACUGGUGAAGUGUGCCUUAAUAUUAAGCUCUUGAACCCAAGAGAGGUUGGCUUGUUCCAAGACCAGUAAAUCAACAGAUAUUGGAGUAAUAGCUCUAAUAAGGCUCAGGACUUCUAACAGUUCUGUAAAUGCUCUUUUUACCAAAACAGCAUCCAUUUUUUCUCUCAGACAACCUGUUUUAAUUCAUUGCAUCAUUACCAAGCUGGUCCACUGUAAAAUGAAUUAAAAUCAUGCUAGUUAGAACAGAUUCAUUCUAGGUAUUUUUCUCAAUGCAAUCCAUGGAACAUUGAACUUUUUUUUUUUUUUUUUUGACAAGCAAGAAAUCUGCCUGACCUAACUCUGAAUCAUUUUUUUUUUAUCGUUGCUACCUUGCAUUUUCCUUGGGAGACGAUUUAAACCAGUGUGAAUUGAGGGUGCUCUGUUCCCACCUUGCAGUGGGCAGGCACACAGUACCCGUGCCCAUUCCAGAACUGUAUCAAGAUCUGCCUAACCGAAAUACAGUACAGUGUGCUCCUUCUGCAGAAAUGUGAAAGCAUGAAUAUACUUUUCUUUUUUUUUUUUUUUUUUUUUUUUUUUUGCUGAGAAGAGGAUGAGCAAAGAAUAUCAUAUGGGUUGGAUAUCAAAGUUUGCAUCCCUCUGCUUCUGCGUUAGACUCAUCUCCCACAUCUCCCUCCCCACAGCUCCAACCAUUCAGGGAGCAGAAAUCACUGUUAUGCUUCCAGGAAACUCUCAUCCCUUGCAGUAUUCAGCUUUAAGUUUUAGUUCCUGCUACCUCACCUGUUUUGACAAAUACCCACAGCACUCAAUAAAAUUAAAACAUCAAUGAACAAAACAGAUCCGUAUGAAGUUUUCCCCACAGAUUAGGAAAGGAGAGGAAGCACAUCUGGUAGAGGAGCGUCGUGUUGCUAAAUAUGUUCAAGUUCCACUCUGAUAGGUGAGUAUAGCGAUCAUCUAACUACCCUGUAAUAUACCUGAGUGCUCCUUGGAUCAAAGCCUGGGGAACGCAAAGGAAAAGGCUGAAAAUUGACAAAGUGCAGCCAAAAAAAGGAAACUUUCAAAUGUAUACUGUAAGCACCACGGUAGUCCCCUUUGUGAGAAAGAGCUCCUACUUGAUUCCCUGGGAAUUACUUGAAGACAAACACAGUGAGAAUUACUUCGGAGAGAAUUUGAGGGGAAGCACACCAUGAGUAAGAGGAGCAGAUGCAUCUUGAGAGUUCAGAAUUCUUCCUGCCUCUAACUUUAUAUGCCCUUUACACAAUCUUCCACUAAUUCUUCUACACUGAUAGUCUAUAGAACCUAAUUACGCAAAGUUUUUUAAAAAUCCUUAUAUAAAAUGCAUAAUGCCUGAUAUCUGAGUCACAAGCACAGUUAAUGUAAUCUAACACAUAUUGCGGGAACCUACUGCACACAGAUAUUACCAAUUAGCACAUGAUUUUAACAAUCAACAUUCAUGCAAUUAAUAGAACACUUCAUAUUCCUUCUAAUUUUGAGCUCUGCAUGAGCAUAUGUUAUCAUGACGGAAUGUGGGAUCAUUUAUUUAUACUGGAAGCAAGGCUCCACACAGAAAGCUGAGAUGCUGAAAGUUAGCUUAGAAGGGAAAAGGGUUCAGUUUUGCAUUGAGAAAUAAAUACUUGCAGUCUGAUUUUUAAAAGUCAAGCUGCAUCCUUACCUUCUCCUUGAUUCUAAACUUCUGAAGGGGAAAAUGUGCUCUGAUUGCAGUCAGGGAACACAGCCGGCAGUGAAUCAACAAGCAGGUGAACACUUCUCCCUAGGACUGGAGAGCACAAUGUCAUCAAAAAGAAAUAACCAUAUUGUCAUGCUGUAUUACUUAGAUACUUCUGCAUUUAGAGAUUAUAGUAGCUGAACAUCUUGUUUUCCUUAGUAUGUUUCUUUUUUGGUCAUAUUUUACUGUGAUUAGGGGAGAAUUAUUACUCUUAUAUGCCAGAUGAAGAACAAAGGUAUAAAGAGAUUAAGCCAUAUCCCCCGGGUAUUUAGGCACCCAUUGCCAUCAAAUUCCAUAGGAUUAAGGCAUUUAAUACCUUUAGGGUCUGGUCCCAUCUCCUUUCCUCACUGCAGAGGAAGCAGGGAGCUGAAUCCCUGUUCCUAGAGCCCUGGUAAUUGCCAGUCUACCCGACUUGUUUGGUGAGUCUGGGGUGCUAACAUAAGCAAAAAGCAAUAAAAACUUACUUUAAUAACUGAACUCAUAGAUGCAUUAUUAGCUCAUUAGGCAGAAAAGCUGUUUAGUACAGAGGUGUUUUUUACACAUAGGUUGGAAAGAAUCACAGUGCUGGUGCUGCUGCAUUCCCAGUCUGUCACCGAGAACAACUUCAAAAUACAGAGGUUGCAUGAGACUUCCCUCCAGAACAUCCUCUUACUGCAAGAAGCUGAAGAAAAGUCUCACGUGUUCCCCACCAGUGAAAACAUUCCUGCAGGCUUCACACCCAUUGGCAGCUCACCCUGCGAGCUUCAACCAAGGGUAUGCCAAGGCCGCACCAUGCCCUGCACCUCGUUUAGGAAGUUGCCUGCUCUAAUCUGCCUUUCUAAAAAUCUUAAAGAAUCCAGAAAGAGUGAUACACAGCCCUCUUCCACUUGCAGGUGAUGCAUCUGACAGCAGAAGUGACCAUGCUGCACAGUGGCUGCUUGCUCCUCACCUGCCCAACGGGCAAGUGACAGCGUUGGGCCCAAAGCCUCUGGGACUUUGCUUCAGGAACUGCUCUAAGCCUCUGCCUCAGGAGGCUGUUGCUGCAGGGAAUUUUCCUCCAUCAGCAGGAACUGAAGCAGCUGCAGGAGCUGCAGAUGUAGACUCUAAAUCAUCGUGUCUUUCCCUCUUUCAGGACAAGCUCCUGAGAGAAUUUGGUUUACCACACAUCUGACGUGUGUUUAUGUGUUGCGGAAUGGGAGUAAUGCAAUGAUUCUCAGGGCAUAACUAUUGUGAAAAAAUCAGAGGAGUUUUCAUCUCCCCCUCCGCUUCCCCCCCCCCCCCCCUCCUCCUCAAGGUAGCAUUCCCACAGCAUCACCUUUGGGUAGCUGCUGUUCCAAACCAAAGCAGAUCAUGGUAAUCUAUAAGUAGCCAAAGAAAUGAGAGAUUUCACCUGUGGCUGCAGCACUUCUACUUAUCUCAAGGGCUCUUUAACUAAAUUUAGGUAAGCAAGGAGAAGAGGGCUCUGAACAUCGGUAUCCGAGCGUCUCAAUUGCAUGCCUUGAAACAAAUGUGCCAUGAAGGCAGUCUCAACGGAGGAUACACAACUGCGAAGAAAUAAGAGAGAGGAAAAAAAGAAAAUCUUCAUGUCUCGAACUCAGUUUACCUGCAGUAACUUUAGUCCAGGUAACAGAGCCUCACUGGUGUCCCUGGCAGAGUGGGAAACAAAGGAUUUCUCCACCAUUUACUAUGGAGCAGGUCAAGUGGCUCUUUGACAUCGAAGUGUCUGCACUUCCUUAAAAGACCUUAGUGGCCCACAGGAUGCAACGUGUGAAUGCACUCAUUUUUGAUGCUUCUUUCCCCACCGAAAGAAAAAUAAUAUCUUAGAGGCAUGUCUAUAUCAUACAGCUUUGGGACCCUGAUUCUAUCCUGAAACACAGUGUUGUGUGGGCCCGUAGGGAGAGAAAGUCCAUGUAAUUCGACAAAUUACAAAGGUCUCCCUGAAGUGUUUCCUUAUAUGUUGCAUGAAGGGAGGAAGAAGGAUGUGGAUGAGCAUUAGUUGUUGAACUGACCCAUUUUGAAGGGAAGGACAGUAAGAAACACUUGGACCCAGUUCUAAUACCCCUACAGUCUGGAGGCAUG
rnacentral:lncRNA from 1 species